rnacentral:lncRNA from 1 species
UGAUGUGAACCUGUCCCAAUCCUUGGGGACAUCUCGUGAGUUUGCAUGUUACGAGUUUGACUUCGAUAACAACCACGAUAGUUGGUACGACUGAGGGUUGAGGUGCUACGCUCAAGAAUGCCUGUGGAGGUGAUCGUGAUGAUGGAGAUGUUUCCAGAAGCUAGCUACCGCUACAUUUGUUAAGGGGCAUGUACCAUAUCGUACUCUCAUAUUCUAGAAUGUAAUAAAUAAAAUUGUAAUGUUAUCGUGGUAUGGAUUUGAUGUUAUGCUGAAAUGAAUUCUGUAUGUGAUAGCUACUGAUCCAGAGACUAUCACAAGGAUAUAAGGAGUAGGAUUCUCCUCAUGGAAAUCCGGUUCGUUUCAGUUGGUACCAGAGCCAUACUUGACUGUAGCAUGUGGCCCUAGACAUGGUCGUUAGCAAUAAGGAUUUCCCUAUGCUCCGUUGCUAUAUAUACUUGAACUAUAUUACAAAAACUCUUCCUCAUUUGAAAACUGCUUACUUACCUAUGCUGACUCAAAUUUUUCUUUCAUGUCACAGGAAGCAAUGGCAGAGGAAAUCGAGAUCUUGCCU